rnacentral:sRNA from 1 species
GCGGCGGGACGCGAGCGGAGAGCCGGAGCGCGGAGCCCGGCUCCCGCACCAUGGAGGAGGACGACAGCUACGUUCCCAGUGACCUGACAGCAGAGGAGCGUCAAGAACUGGAGAACAUCCGACGGAGAAAACAGGAGCUGCUGGCUGACAUUCAGGUAGGAGAGUGGCAUGGUGGUUUCACCAACGUAAGAACCACAGUGAUAGUUCCAUUUGUAUAAAAGGGUGUCCUUUGCAGAGUGUCUCCUCAAGACACUUUUGACCUGCCGUCACUACAGCUCUGCACAAAGCGUAGGUGUUGAUAAUCACCUUUCCUCUACAGCUGAGCAGAUGGAAUGUCAGAGGUUCAGUGGUUUGUCCAGGUUCACCCAGUUGGUUGGUUGUCGGAGCUGGAGAUACCCCGCAGGACUCCUGUCUCCUGAGUAGUCCUCUCUGCUGUGUUUGCCCUUGC